GUCGUGAUGUGCUUCUCUCAAAGAAGAAAAGCUGAAGAACGUGGAGAAAAAUUGCACGGGUUCAGAACCCACGAAGCUGACGGUUUCCACAAUUUUAGAACCCAUCACCACCAUGUUACCUAUAUUUUUCUUCGUCCACUUCAUUGGCACCUUUUCUGCUUCAGAAAUCGAAAUCGAAAUUGCGAGUAAUCACCCAAGAGCACCCGGUGUAAAGACUGGCCAGACUCGAAAAACUUCCUUUCUCAUUCCGCACCACACCUGUUAUCCUGUAACUGAAGGUAAAGCAUCCGUUUUUUUUGUCUUAAUGCAUGUAUAUUUCUAAUUUUGUUGGGUUCAAUAUAGUCUCCCCCAAUUUUUGUUGCUUUUCUUAUGAUGUGUUUUUUGUUGGUGCUGGUAUAACUAAAAAUCCUUUGUGCUCAGAUAAAGGAGGUAGGGUUCACACUCAGAAAGAGAGAAUAUUUAAAUUCGUACAGGAGGGAUAGUGUUCAAGUUAUUUAUCAGGUUAUUAUUUCAAAUCCUAUUUCUUUUUUGUCAUCACACGUGCUCUUCCAAGUUUUAGAUUGUUUGUUAGGAUUGUAUGAAUUUGGGUGUUUGAUUUUCGAAGUUUAAUUUUCUCUAUUUUGGCUAAUUUUGUCUUGGUUUCUCUCUGUCUCUUUCAUUCUUAUUUGUGAAUUUGUUAGGAUUUCUGAAUUUGGGUGUUUGAUUUUCGAAGUUUAAUAUUCUCUAUUUUGGCCAAUUUUGUCUUGGUUUCUCUCUGUCUCUUUCAUUCUUAUUUGUGAAUUUGUUAGGAUUUCUGAAUUUGGGUGUUUGAUUUUCGAAGUUUAAUCUUCUCUAUUUUGGCUAAUUUUAUCUUGGUUUCUCUCUGUCUCUUUCUUUUUUAUUUGUGAAUUAAUUUUGUUGGGUUCAAUGAUAAUCAGCUAGCUGCAUUUGACUUGGGGUAACAAAUGCAAGAGUUACAGAUGCACAAUUAUUAAUACAAAUGCAAGAGUUACAUUAUGUUCCUGAUGCACAAUUAUUAAUAUAAUAUUGCUGUUCAAGAGAAUCCAGCUUCUAAUACGUUGGCAAGCCUGUAAACAACUGGAUAAACCAACCUGUGAAUGUAGUUAUGUUUAUGAAUAGAUUCUAUAGCCAUAACACUUUGGGCAAUGUAAAAUCUUGCAACAGUUUCAGUCAAAGUCUCUUCUCUAAUAAGCAAAGUCAUCAUGUCACCACCAAGUAGAUACUCCAUGAUUAGAUACAAGUAGUCAGCAUCUUGAAAGGAAUAGUAGAGUUUCACAAUGCAGUGACUAGCAACCUCUGCAAGCAAAUCCCUUUUAGCUCUAACAUGUUCAACCUACGUUGCAGAUAGUAUUUGGCCUGCUUAAGUUCUUUAUGGUAUCUGCAUUUUGAUUCUGUUUUGUGGCGUUUUCCUUUGUUUCUAAAUUCCAGUUAAUCACUCUGAAUCUCAAUGUUGUUGUUACUGAUUAGCUGUGAUUUUCCCCAAAAAUAUGUAGCUUAAGAGUCGAUGAAGUAAUUCCAUGAAGUAAUUUCAUCAAUAUGCUUGCUCAAUGUUGUUGUUCUUUGAAUCUGUGUUUUGUUGUGAUAUUCGAAUUUCUCAUAUAUUAGACAAUGUCUUCCUCUUUUUGAUCUGUUUACUAUCACUAAUCUCUAAUUUUUUAAAAUCCUAAUGGAAUUUCUUUGAUUAUAUAUAUAUAUAUAUAUGGGUUUAAAUUAAUUGUUCCUGAUUUCAUUAAAUUUUACUGCAGUACUUGGACGAGAACAAGUCAUUGAUUCUGAAGAUCGUUGAGAGCCAGAAUACAGGGAAAUUGAGUGAAUGCGUAAAGUGAGCAUUUACUUUUUCAUUGACUGCUCUGCUUUGGACAUCUUUUAUUUUCACAGAUUGCUAUUUAUAAGCAACGUAUAUCUGUUAGGCUAUUUUUAUUUAUAUGUUAACUUGCUUUCUAAUUGAUACUGCAUGGUUGCAACUCAUGGUUUGCUUGGAAUUUGCUUGGAAUUUGCUCAAUGUUGUUGUUCUUUGAACCUGUUUUUUGUUGUGAUAUUUGAAUUUCUCAUAUAUUAGACCAUGUCUUCCUCUUUUUGAUCUGUUUACUAUCACUAAUCUCUAAUUUUUUGAUCACUAAUCUCUAAUUUUUUGAUCAUAAUGGAAUUUCUUUGAUUAUAUAUAGAUGUUGUUUCGCUAGAGCACCAAUGAAGAAAGCAUUUAGAUUUGAUGUGUUUGAUGUCAAUGGUAUGAAUCUCUCUCUCUCUCUCUCUCUCUCUCUCUCAUAUUUUGGUUUGGGAUUUUUGAAUUCUUUUUUUGUGAAUUAAUUUUGCUGGGUUUAAUGAUAUUAUCAGCUAGCUGCAUUUGACUUGGUGUAAAUCACGUACUUGGUCUGCUUAAGUUCUUUAUGGUAUCUACAAAUUAAAAAAAUUAAAAAAAAUAAAAAUUAAAAAAAAAGUUCUUUAUGGUAAUUUAUAAAGUAAGAAUUUUGAUUCUGUUUUCUGGCGUUUUCCUUUGUUUCUCCAGCUAAUAGAUGUAGGGGUUUCCACACUGGCCAUUGAUUUGUGUUGGCUUUUUAGUGGGUAGUUGCCAAAACCUUGGAUUUGGAACUCAGUGGUAUUUGUUUCAACAAUUGAACAUAUUUUUCAUCUCUUGGUAGCAUUUGUUUUUCUACUUUGUUGGUUAAGCCAACCCCAUUGUAGUGCGUAGAAGGAGAUUUACAGUUUCAUAUUGUGUCUUCUGGAUAUUGUUAUCAAAUUAACAAAUUUCCUGAUCUCUCGAUCUCUGCUUUUGCUUACCUAAAUUGCAUUUGCUUCAAGUUGGAAUGAAUGAGGUAUUUUGAGGCUAUAUAAUUAUGUGAUUGUUGUGCUUCAUUCUAAUUACUGUUUAUUUUAUUUUUUUAGUAUGAAUCAUAGUUAAGCAGUCGUCCAAUUGCUAGGUCCAAAAAAGAAAAUUAAUAAGUUUUUCAUAUCUACAUGUCUUAUUGAAACUUUGGAAUUUUAUCUCAACAGAUUCAAUUGUCUGUCACAUCUCUGACUUAUUCACUGAAGCAAAGAAGCAAAGAUAAUUUUCAGGUUAAUGUUUCUUCAUUUUGUUUUAUUGACACAAUUUUUUCUUUUGGGUUCCCUCAAAAUUCCUUCACAAAAUUUGACUUGGCUCUACUAUUACGUGUUUUCUGCUCUCUCUUUCUGUUUUUUUCCCCCGAUUUAAUUAACAAAUUUUAGCAUAAUUUCUCAACUUUAACCAGUUGUCUUCACCACCCAAACCAAAAUGUCCAAUUUGAAGCAAAUGUUUUUAAUUUUGGGUUUUGUUUUCUUUUGUUUUUGCUGAAUUGAAAUUAACCCCAUUUUAAUGCUGCUCCUAAUCUCAUGUUGCAGGAUUCUCUUCCAACGAUCUAUCCAUUGCUAGGUAUGGGUAUACGCCCGCAUUCACCUACCUCUACAUUACUUUCUUUGUUUGCUAAUCAUACUUUUUUACCUAAUAAAGCAACAAGCAGCUCAAAAAAGAACAAUGAAAACAUUGAACAGAGAAAAUCAUUUUGCUUGCUCCUUUGUAUUUGAUUAUUAUUAUACCAACCAAAACAAUGAAGACUACAACCUGGACAUGCUCAAGAUUGAACUUUGCAAUAUAUGUAUUAUAUUUUUUAAUUAAUUAAUC
rnacentral:lncRNA from 1 species